rnacentral:lncRNA from 10 species
GAAAUAUGAUAACACAAUUUGGAGUUUUAUUAAAAAACAAUUUUUUUGGAAUUUUUGAAAAAGAUUUUGUGUUUAAGAAAAAAGAACCAAAGGGCCUGCAAUAUAUUCUGUUAGAGGAGAUUAAAAAGAAGAAAGGGAUGAGGGAAAAAAAGAGAUGAAUGUUUCCCAUUAUCACUCAUUUCUGUCUCAGGAGGGCUAAGGUGGCCCCUGCUCACCAGCCUUCCCCUCUCGGCAUCACCAGCCCCCAGCCUGCUAUCCGCUUCACAGAGCAGCGAGCCAGUCCUUGGAGAGGGGACGUGAGAAGGGGCAGAAGUCAGGGGACCUGAGGCUGCUCCCCGGCACCAGUGCUGCUCAACACACACAAUUGUGUGACCACCACUGAACAAAUCUCACAAGAAAGAGGUGCAUUUUACUCCACACGUCAUUUGGUUUUGAAAAACUAAUUUGAACCUCAUUUUUUUCUAAGUGAGAAUUUGGUUUGCUGUGUGUGUGUUUUCAAUUUGGAUUGCCAAGUAUUCAGUCCUAACAUAUGUUAUGGUUGGAGUGCAUAUAACACUGUGCAGCCGAAUAACUAGACCUAGAAAAUAAAACUGAUCACGGUAAAGUUAUUUUCCAGGCAGGGGAUGCCUCAUGAUACUGGCUGGGGCCCAACCACACCCAAGGCCUCGUCGGUUUCUGUUCUCAUGCUGUUGUCAUAUACCCAGAAGUAGGGGAAGCCCAGGAGCCAUGGAGCCUCAGUGUCAGUUCCCUGACAAGCCAUCCUCCAAAAAAGCCUUUCCUUUGCAAAAUGAACAGGUACUCCGUGAAAACAGGGAGAGAAAUUUCUGUUUUUCACCGAUGCAUUUCUCACGUUCAUCUGACAAUGUGCAAAACAAAAAGUCUACAUUAGAAAUUUAUCAUGAAGUUAUACUCUACUUCAACUCACUUCUUUUCAGUCCCUGUGAAAACUUAAUACUCUUGGUGUUGUACUGAAAUACCCAGUGGAUUUGGGGUGCACCUGUACCCUUGAUCUCCACUUCUGCGUGUUUCUAGGCCAAAGGGAAAACCAACUCUCUACCUAAUUGGAACUUCUGGUUUUAUUGCAUAUCCUGGAGGUCUUGCUUCGUUUUUAUUUUCCCGGGUUGAUGGUCUUUCCCAUGUGCACCUACGUUAGCCCACUAUGUAGAACGCCUUGGCAGUUUUCACAGAGUAAGAGGUUGAAGGAAGCCACCAAUGUGAAAAUCAUAUUUGCUGUAAAGAAAGAACCAUUGUGAGUUGUUGGAAACCAGAUUAAAAUUCCAUAAUUGGAGAUUGAUGACUUUUAUUUCAUGAGUUUUACUUAGUUAGGUGUUUUAUCUUCUGUGUUUUGUGGCUCCAAAUUACGAAGACUGUUGGCCUUGCAAGAAACUGAUCACGGCAAAGUUAUUUUCCUUACUGAACACGUGUCCUAUAUAUUUGCUUGGCCUCGGGUUUUGUUUAAUCCCUUCAAAGGCCCUUUGAACUGAUGUUUCAACAUGACUCCUUCUCUGUGAGCUCUCCGCUAGGAAGCGGCCAUCAUGUCAAGCCCCUUCACAGCUAAAGUAGUGAGUUCACAUAGUCGAAGAAUCUUCUGGGUUGCAUCUUAUGAAAAAAAGAAAUCCACUGCCUUUUUAUAAGAGAACAGAACAUUUACACCGUCUUGUUGAGCAAAUGAACGUUCAAAUGGCCAGCACAAAAGAAAUCCCCAAUCUCUAACCUCACAAUGAAAUCGCCACGGACAAAAGAUCACGGGAUACCGGGAGCACUAAACUGGAAGUGACACAAAACCACAGCAGAAUCCGCUCACACCUGCCGAGGUUCCUGGGGGAUGAUCUUUGUGUAAAGGAUCCUGGUGCCGCAGUCAGCCUGAAACACUCCAAGGAGCAGAGACGCUCCCCUCUGCAACAGUGACAUUUAUACUGAUGGCGUCUUUUUAAAUAAAUUAAUACAUGUCUGAUGUGGACAGAGUAGUGCUGUCUGACAAGGUGAUCAUUUGACUUUUCUUAGAGGUACAAAUUUACGCUCCCUUCUAUGAAUAGAGAGGGCUAUUUGUUUCAUUCAAAGACAAGACAUUGUUAGAAAUGAGUGGCACACCUCUUCAACCCAUCCCCUUCCUCCAUGGAGGUAAAAAGAUCCUAUUAGUUCUCAUAAUUGAUUCUGAGGGCUGCAGCGUGCCUCAUUUAGCCGUCCCUGCUCGGUUCACGCCAAGGAUGUAAUUCAUGCACACUUGGACGUCCAACAUGGCUGACGCGCCUUGGACACACAGCCUCGGCGCUGCAUCAUUUUUUAAUCAGCUAUCUGAGGAAUAUUUAUCUGAUCAACAAAGAGUGUUGUCAGGAGGAGACCAGAGGUGACAUUAAUAAGCCUGUGGUUUCCUGGUACAAUGAUGGAGGAAGAGUUUGGAAUAAAACCCUGCUCGUUUGAGCAUGCCAGCAGACUAAAGAAUAUUUUUAUUCUGCUUACAAAGAGCCAGUCAAAAGAGUCUCAGUUUGAAGUGUUCAGUUAAGUUUAAGUCUCAGUGAUAAGUUUUCAGGCAUUCACAUGUGUUAGU